rnacentral:lncRNA from 1 species
GUUUUGAACUCUUUGAGUCUAGUUUAGUGUUUUAAAGCCUACUUUUGUGUUUUUAAGUUUCUUCUUAUAUUCUUUGAGUCAAGUGAGAGGUUGAUUAGCAUAGCCCCUCCUAAUCCCCGGUCCAGAACGAUCCCUACUUAUACAUAUACUACAAUUGUCAACAAGAGGGUUUAAUUUUUGUGUCAAGUAAUUCUCACAUCAAGAAUGACCCUCUAGCUAGCCAAUCACCCAUACUUUUUCCCCAAAUUCGUGCAAAUUUGUCUAAGUCUUGAAUUUACUUGUCUUUCCUUUAAAUUCGUCAAAAACCCAAUCCCCCUUUACUUUGAUGUGUCAAGUUAGUUAGUGUGGAUGCAAAUUUCUUCCUCCUUGAUCUUGGACAAUUUUGCACCUACAAAACAAUUAACACCUUAGGUUAAGACCAAGAGCCUCACGCGCCCACGAUGAAUGGGGGGGGGCUGUGGCCGAAGAACCUCCGAUGCCAAAGUUAGAAUUUAGAGAGAAAUAGUGUUUAGAGAAUUUUGGGAUUUUUGCCAAAGUGUUGGAAUCUCCUUUUUGGUGAGAAUGAGAGUAUAUUUAUAGAGAUAGGAGGUGGCUAGGGUUUUUUGGGUUUAAUUUAGGUUUAAGAUGAUUUUGGGAGU